ensembl:lncRNA
AUGAGAUCUACACAAAGGUCCAGAAAAUGGACCACGCCUACAAGUUCGGAAUGAUGGUAUGCAAGCAGACCGUAAGCUACACCGAGCAGGCGAAGUACUUUGCAGCACGGGAGAAAGUACACAAGCAGCAACUGCAAUUCCUGCGGAGCGAAGUCGAAAGACUUAGCCAAGCAGCGGUGGAAAACACCAACACCAUCAACCAGUUGGGACUGGAUCUCGGGACAUCCCAGGCCAGCUUAACAGCUACGCAGACCGAUCUGGAUGCCACAAAAAACGAAUUGGACGACCUCCACUGCAUGAACGCCUCCCAAGAUACUGAUUCCCCGCAUCAGAGAUUGUGUUCAACGAGAGUCGAUGACGAUGACUUCAUGGACGACAACGGGAACGGAGAAAAAACUAUAUUCGAACUCGGUCCGCCCCCAUUGGGGGGGGGGACCUUAACUGUCAAUACAGUUAGCGGCUGCACGGCAAUAUCAUUCAUCUGUUCACACAAUUCAAGAUGGUAAGUAGUCAUGUUCUUCUUACGGGUCCUAAUUUGAACGUUGAAGUGAUUUCAAUUUGUAACUAUUUCAGUGUAACACCAUCUUCACUACAUAUUCA